GUUUAAACUUACACGAAUCGCUCUCUUGAGGAGGAGGGAACCGCCGCGCGAUUGACACGCAUAUUCCUAUAGGCAUCCUCCCUCAGCCCCCACCCCCACGGCCGGAUUCGGGUGGCUCCUCUCCGAGCUGAAAUCCGAGAAGAAAUCUCCUUGGAUCUCUUGUUAAAAAAAAAAAAAAAAAAAAAAUCCAGAAACCGUCGGUAUUUUGCUUUCCUGCUUCCUUUUCGCAUGAUGAAGAAGUUUUUCGACUCCAGGCGAGAGCAGGGUGGCUCUGGCCUGGGCUCCGGCUCCAGCGGAGGAGGGGGCAGCACCUCGGGCCUGGGCAGCGGCUACAUCGGACGGGUCUUUGGCAUUGGGCGACAGCAGGUCACUGUGGACGAGGUGCUGGCGGAAGGUGGAUUUGCCAUCGUGUUUCUGGUGAGGACAAGCAAUGGAAUGAAAUGUGCCUUGAAACGCAUGUUUGUCAACAACGAGCAUGAUCUCCAGGUGUGCAAGAGAGAAAUCCAGAUAAUGAGGGACCUGUCGGGGCAUAAGAACAUCGUGGGUUACAUUGACUCCAGUAUCAACAGUGUGAGUAGCGGUGAUGUGUGGGAAGUUCUCAUCCUGAUGGACUUCUGCAGGGGAGGCCAAGUGGUCAACCUGAUGAACCAGCGCCUGCAAACAGGUUUUACAGAAAAUGAAGUACUCCAGAUAUUUUGUGACACCUGUGAAGCUGUCGCCCGCCUGCAUCAGUGCAAAACUCCUAUUAUCCACCGUGACUUGAAGGUUGAGAAUAUUCUCUUGCAUGACCGAGGCCACUAUGUCCUGUGUGACUUUGGAAGUGCUACCAACAAAUUCCAGAACCCACAAACGGAAGGAGUCAAUGCAGUAGAAGAUGAGAUUAAGAAGUACACAACGCUGUCCUAUCGCGCACCAGAGAUGGUCAACCUGUAUAGUGGCAAGGUCAUCACGACGAAGGCAGACAUUUGGGCUCUCGGAUGUUUGUUGUAUAAAUUAUGUUACUUCACUUUGCCAUUUGGGGAGAGUCAAGUGGCAAUUUGUGAUGGAAACUUCACAAUUCCUGAUAACUCUCGAUAUUCCCAAGACAUGCACUGCCUAAUUAGGUAUAUGUUGGAACCAGACCCUGACAAAAGGCCGGAUAUUUACCAGGUUUCCUACUUCUCAUUUAAACUACUCAAGAAAGAAUGCCCAAUUCCAAAUGUACAGAACUCUCCCAUUCCUACAAAGCUCCCUGAACCAGUGAAAGCCAGUGAGGCAGCUGCAAAGAAGACCCAGCCAAAGGCCAGACUGACAGAUCCCAUUCCCACUACAGAGACGUCAAUUGCACCCCGCCAGAGGCCUAAAGCUGGGCAGACUCAGCCCAACCCAGGAAUCCUCCCCAUCCAACCAGCCCUGACCCCUCGGAAGAGGGCCACAGUUCAGCCCCCACCUCAAGCCGCAGGAUCCAGCAAUCAGCCUGGUCUUUUAGCCAGUGUUCCUCAACCAAAAACGCAGCCCCCACCCAGUCAACCGCUACCACAGUCUCAGCCCAAGCAGCCUCAGGCUCCUCCCACCUCACAGCAGCCGCCUUCCACACCAGCCCAGGCUCUGCCCACCCAGGCCCAGGCCACACCCCAGCACCAGCAGCAACUCUUCCUCAAGCAGCAGCAGCAGCAGCAGCAGCAGCAGCAGCAGACAGCGCCAUCUGCACAGCAGCCAGUGGGCACGUUCUACCAGCAGCCGCAGCAGCAGGCCCAGGCUCCGCAGUUUCAGGCAGUACACCCAGCAGCCCAGCAACCAGUGAUCGCUCAGUUCCCUGUGGUAUCUCAAGGAAGCUCUCAACAGCAGCUGAUACAAAACUUCUACCAGCAGCAGCAGCAGCAACAGCAGCUGGCCACAGCCCUGCAUCAACAACAGCUGCUGACUCAGCAGGCUGCCUUGCAGCAGAAGACGACAGUGGCGGCUGUACCGCAGCCCCAAGCACAGCCGGCCACAGCAGCCUCGCCAGCCCCUGCCCAGGAGCCAGCGAUUCAGGCCCCAGUAAGACAACAGCCGAAGGUUCAGACAACCCCACCUCCUACCAUCCAGGGGCAGAAACUUGGAUCUCUCACUCCUCCAUCAUCCCCCAAGGCCCAGCGUGCUGGGCACAGGCGAAUUCUCAGCGAUGUGACCCACAGCGCAGUCUUUGGGGUCCCUGCCAGCAAAUCAACCCAGCUGCUCCAAGCAGCUGCAGCUGAGGCCAGUCUCAAUAAGUCCAAGUCUGCAACCACCACUCCUUCAGGCUCCCCUCGGGCCUCCCAGCAAAAUGUUUAUAAUCCUUCAGAAGGUUCUACGUGGAAUCCCUUUGAUGACGACAAUUUCUCCAAACUCACAGCUGAAGAACUGCUAAACAAGGACUUUGCCAAGCUGGGGGAAGAAAAAGCUGACGUUGCUGUUGAGAGUCUGAUACCAGGACUGGAGCCCCCGGUGCCUCAGCGCCUCCCAUCUCAGACGGAAUCUGUGACCUCGAACCGUACAGGUCUCCAGAGAGAGCCCAUUCCCUCUCCUGUAAUAACUGUAGAGCACUUUAAAGAAUCGACGGGUGUUAAAGGCCUUCCCCUGUACCCGGACCCCUCCCGGGUACCUGGCACGAAAACUCAGAACAGUCUAGAAUCUGACUACUUGGCCCGAGAUGGCCCUUCCAGCAACAGUUCGUUCCACAGCAGUGAAGAGGAGGGGACCGACCUCGAGGGGGACAUGCUGGACUGCAGUGGCUCUCGCCCUCUGCUCUUGGAGUCGGAGGAAGAGGAUGAGAGCUGCAAGCCUCCGCAGGGGAAGCUAGGAGGAGCCACUCCCUUCACUCAGCCGGAGGUCACUUCCGCGCAGGCCAAGGCCUCGCAAGGUGGGAGGAAGAACCAAUUCGGAGCCCUCACCCAGCCGACCGCUGAUGGACUCGGUGAGCCAGAUGUGUUUGCCACUGCUCCCUUCCGGAGUUCAAGGAUUCCCGCUGAUGACAUUUUUGCCAAAGCCCCCUUUGUCUCCAAGGGCAACGUGGCCCUUUCCCAGCCAGAGGAGACGGAUGUGUUCUUGAGAGCUCCCUUUACCAAGAAGAAAGGCAUGGAGGAGUCAGCAGUUGCCCAGAGCCCCGCCCAGGAGCAGCCCGGUCUCCUCAGUCAGACCGAUGACAUCCCUCUGCUCCCAGGCCUGGAUCGAGCCGUGUACCCGUCCGCCCGAGCUCAGUAUUCCACUGCUGGCUUUGCCCAGCCGUCUAACCUCCCCUCCCAUCCUGUACAAGCAGCAGACCAUCUUGACAGCAUCUCUUCCAGGGGCUCUUCCCUGGAAUCUGGGGCCCAUCCUAAUGACAGAAACAAAGGACCUCAGCCCCAGAAAGAAGCUGUCUCAGGCCCCGUGGCAGGCAAACCAUUCCGCCCCCAGUCUUUAUCCAAAUAUUCCCGUCACUAUAGCCCGGAAGAUGAGCCGAAUCCAGAAGCCCAGCCCAUUGCUGCCUACAAAAUUGUUUCGCAAACCAAUAAGCAGUCGAUAGCUGGCUCCGUUUCCAUCACAUCCCUUGCCUCCAGGACUACGGAGCUGCCAGCUGCUGAUCCUUUUGCUUUAGCACCCUUUCCUUCAAAGUCAGGCAAACAGAAACCUUAG
rnacentral:lncRNA from 1 species